rnacentral:rRNA from 1 species
GCGCAAGCCUGAUCCAGCCAUGCCGCGUGCAGGAUGACGGUCCUAUGGAUUGUAAACUGCUUUUAUACAGGAAGAAACCCUACCACGUGUGGUAGAUUGACGGUACUGUAGGAAUAAGGAUCGGCUAACUCCGUGCCAGCAGCCGCGGUAAUACGGAGGAUCCAAGCGUUAUCCGGAAUCAUUGGGUUUAAAGGGUCCGUAGGCGGUUUAAUAAGUCAGUGGUGAAAGCCCAUCGCUUAACGAUGGAACGGCCAUUGAUACUGUUAGACUUGAAUUAUUAGGAAGUAACUAGAAUAUGUAGUGUAGCGGUGAAAUGCUUAGAUAUUACAUGGAAUACCAAUUGCGAAGGCAGGUUACUACUAAUAUAUUGACGCUGAUGGACGAAAGCGUGGGGAGCGAACAGGAUUAGAUACCCUGGUAGUCCACGCCGUAAACGAUGGAUACUAGCUGUUGGGCGCAAGCUCAGUGGCUAAGCGAAAGUGAUAAGUUC